GAUGAACGCUAGCGGCAGGCUUAACACAUGCAAGUUCGAGGGGCAGCGAGUCUUUAGUUUACUAAAGAUGUCGGCGACCGGCGCACGGGUGCGUAACGCGUAUGCAACCUACCUUUAACAGGGGCAUAACACCGAGAAAUUGGUACUAAUUCCCCAUAACAUAUUGAAUGGCAUCAUUUGAUAUUGAAAGCUCCGGCGGUUAGAGAUGGGCAUGCGUUGUAUUAGCUAGUUGGUUGGGUAAUGGCUAACCAAGGCUACGAUACAUAGGGGGACUGAGAGGUUUACCCCCCACACUGGUACUGAGACACGGACCAGACUCCUACGGGAGGCAGCAGUGAGGAAUAUUGGUCAAUGGACGCAAGUCUGAACCAGCCAUGCCGCGUGCAGGAUGACGGCUCUAUGAGUUGUAAACUGCUUUUGUACUAGGGUAAAUGCAGGUACGUGUACCUGUUUGAAAGUAUAGUACGAAUAAGGAUCGGCUAACUCCGUGCCAGCAGCCGCGGUAAUAC
rnacentral:rRNA from 1 species